rnacentral:snoRNA from 1 species
AUAGUCGUUUUAAGAAAGUGAAGAAAGUGUGUCACCAAGCUGGCCACAAGUGUACUCACAAGUGUAGGUAGUGUGCAACACAAAUGGCAAGUUUUUGCUAACACUCCACUCUGGCCCAGCGAGCGGAGUUUGAUAGCAAACUGUGGUACAAGU